rnacentral:ribozyme from 1 species
GACUCAAAGAAAGACAAAAAGAAGAAAAAAAAGAAGGAAUCGAAGAAGGCCACCGAAUCACGCUUUGUAUCUUUGUUGAUU